GUGCCUAACACAUGCAAGUCGAGCGGAGUUGAUCGACGGAAGCCUUCGGGCGGAAGAUGAUUAACUUAGCGGCGGAUGGGUGAGUAACGCGUGGGCAACCUGCCUCGAAGACCGGGAUAACAGUUCGAAAGGGCUGCUAAUACCGGAUGUGGUCAAGUGUCAGCAUGGGCAUUUGAUUAAAGGGGAAACCCGUUUCGAGAUGGGCCCGCGUCCUAUCAGCUAGUUGGUGAGGUAAAGGCUCACCAAGGCAAUGACGGGUAGCCGGCCUGAGAGGGUGACCGGCCACACUGGAACUGAGACACGGUCCAGACUCCUACGGGGGGCAGCAGUGGGGAAUCUUCCACAAUGGGCGAAAGCCUGAUGGAGCGACGCCGCGUGAGCGAAGAAGGCCUUCGGGUUGUAAAGCUCUGUCUGGAGGGACGAAGAAAGUGACGGUACCUCCGGAGGAAGCCACGGCUAACUACGUGCCAGCAGCCGCGGUAAUACGUAGGUGGCGAGCGUUGUCCGGAAUCACUGGGCGUAAAGGGCGCGCAGGCGGCGUGUCAAGUCGGACGUGAAAACCCCUGGCUCAACUGGGG
rnacentral:rRNA from 1 species